UAGAGAAAUUUUUGGUUUGUCCAAAGAGACUCCAGACUUUUUAUUUUCUAAAUUGAAUUUUAAGGAGAAGUUUUAGGUUCCUACGAAAAGACUCCAGGCUUUCUUUUAAAACAGAGACUGUGUGAUUCAUCUGCCCCCAGCACCUAGCAUGGCCUCUGGCUCAUAGCCGGGGUUCAAAUGCAUGCUUGUUUGGUAAUAAGUGAGGCAAGACACACUGGGAAUGAUUUAAAAAAAUAACAAAGAGAUGUAUCUUUACACACAUCUUUGCUGUUGAAAAUGAAGUCCGUGAAAGUUUUCUGGGAAUUCAAAAGUAGUUCUUUUUCAUGGGCCCUCCUUGGUUGGUUUUCAAGUUUGCCCUGAAGCAUCUUCUGUCCAAAUAGCCUUUCGCUGGCAGCAGUUCUACCUUCAUCCAGAAGAUGGCGGGCGAGGCCAGCAAGCGAGCUUCGCAAUGCAGCCAGGCGCCAGGCCUAGGCAGGUGACCCUUUUUUAACAAAAGAUGCGGGCACCUGAAGCCUAUUUGCCAACCCCAUAAAUGCGCAUGGGCGACAAGAACUUCGGGAUAGGUUCUGGUGUUGAUCCCCGUGAAAAGGAGCCUUUUUGAAAGGGUGUUUCAGGGGGAGCAUGGCAGCAAGUGGUUAAAGGGCAGGUCCUCUAAAACUCUCCUUUGAAUGGGGAAAACACUGUGGAAAAUGAACUUCCUAUAAAGCAGGCACAGCCCUCAAAGUCUCCGUGACUCAGGACGACGUGCUUUUUUGCCUCUUGAAGCUUACUUGCUUUGGAAAUGGUUCCCGGCUCCCUGGCCACCUCCACAGCUGACCGGAAGCUUCUCUUGGGUCACAAUUCCUCCUCCUCACAGGUCUGCACACUCCCAACAGGAACAGCAUUCUUGAGGAGGCAUUUCUACUCCUGACUGGUGUCGCUGGGCGAGUUUAUCACAUCACUUCAAGAUCCCCACUGCCUCUGAGUGAGCCAAGCUAUAGAAAGGUGUCUAAGUAGCAGCAUGCGAGAUCUUCAGCUGAAGCAUGUGGGAUUUAACUCCCUGACAAGGGAUUGAACCUGGGCCCCCUGCAUUGGGAACACGGAAUCUUAGCCAUUGGACUACGGGGGAAGUUCUAAUGGGUUUAUAUCAUCUACGUGCUCAGUUGCUUCAGUCGUGUCCGACUCUUUGCGACCCAUGGACUGUAGUGCACCAGGCUCCCCUGUCCAUGGGAUUCUCCAGGCAAGAACACUGGAGUGGGUUGCCAUGCCCUCCUCCAGGGGAUCUUCCUGACCCAGGGAUUGAACCUGCGUCUCCUUUAUUCCAGGAGACACAGGAGACACGAGUUUGAUCCCCUAGAUCUAGAAGAUUCCCUGGAGUAGGAAAUGGCAACUGAUUCCAGUAUUCUUGCCUGGAAAAUUCCAUGGACAGAGGAGUCUUGCAGGCUACAGUCUCCAUGGGGUUGCAAAGAGUCAGACAUCACUGAGCAUGCUGGAUAUAUGCCCAGAAGUGGGAUUACUGGAUCAUAUGUAGACCAUUUACUUUUAAUGUUAUUAAUCAUAUGGUUUGGCUCUCUUGUUAUUUAUCUUUGCUCCAUUUGUUCUGUCUUCCUUUUCCUCCUCGUCUACCAUCUUUUAGAUUUAUUGCUUAUUUUUUAUUCUGUUUUCUUGGUUAGAUUAUAGUUAUAAUUUUUUUAUUUUGUGGUUUUAAGGUUUAUAGUGUAUAUAUAUGCCUAUUACAGUACACCUUCAAGUUAUAUUACACUGCUUUAUGGAUAGGAUAAAAACUUACCGCAUUUCCAUUUCCCUCCUCCUGACCUUUGUACUAUUCUCAUACAUUUUAAUUCUACGUGUGUUGUAAACCUCAUAACACAUUGUUGUUACU
ensembl:lncRNA